UACGGAAGGCAGCAGGGGGGAAUAUUGCACAAUGGGCGCAAGCCUGAUGCAGCCAUGCCGCGUGUAUGAAGAAGGCCUUCGGGUUGUAAAGUACUUUCAGUCGUGAGGAAGGUGUUAAGGUUAAUAACCUUAGCAAUUGACGUUAGCGACAGAAGAAGCACCGGCUAACUCCGUGCCAGCAGCCGCGGUAAUACGGAGGGUGCGAGCGUUAAUCGGAAUUACUGGGCGUAAAGGGCACGCAGGCGGUUAAUUAAGUUGGAUGUGAAAUCCCCGGGCUUAACCUGGGAAUGGCAUUCAAGACUGGUUAGCUAGAGUCUUGUAGAGGGGGGUAGAAUUCCAUGUGUAGCGGUGAAAUGCGUAGAGAUGUGGAGGAAUACCGGUGGCGAAGGCGGCCCCUGGGACAAAGACUGACGCUCAUGUGCGAAAGCGUGGGGAGCAAACGAGGGAUUAGAUACC
rnacentral:rRNA from 1 species